ACGAUCGCGUGCAUAUGUGGAACGCAAUAUUCGGAGUUCGUAUGAAUAAGUUAUGAAUAUUUGAAAUUUGGAAAUUUUCUAUAAAUAGAGGGAAUUUCCGGAUUUUUCAUUAAGGACGAGAAAACUUAAGUUUUGCUGAACAGUCCCUCCCCCCCCCCCGGUUCUCUCUCUCUCGCUCGAAACCCUUCCCAGGCCCGCAGACCCGCCGACCCGACCCGGACGAAAAUUCCCCUUCCGGCCUCCUCCGGCCCCGGACCCGGACUCCCCUGGGAUCGCCGGCCCACGACGAGCCUCCCUCUGGUGUUUCCUUGCCUCACCGCUGCCCCGAAAGCCGGAUCGAAGUCACCCAGACUCCGAUCGGUGACCCGGCCGGAUUUCUAGUUUUCCGGCGUCCCCUCGGCCGAUCCUCCCCAUUUUCGUGAUCUCCUCCUCAUGCUGAUCAUCCCCAUAUUCAAUCUGAUCAGAUCAGACGCACCGGAUUGAUCCAAACUUGAAAGCUUGAUCUAGGACGAUCUAGGCCGAAUCAGACUUAGCUCCAGGUACUUGACGGUUUGAGUUGACGAGCGUUUGGAAUAUCGUUAUAAUUGACUUGUUAGAAGACGCAACGGGAUUAGAGGUGAGUAAACCUCACGUGGUUCAUAUUACGAACCGAAUAAAUUCAAUUACUUUAUUUUUGUCAUAAUUGUGUGAAAAUAUUUGUGGAAUAAAUAUUUGUUUUAAAUCAUAUGG